rnacentral:rRNA from 1 species
UACGGAGGGGGCUAGCGUUGUUCGGAAUUACUGGGCGUAAAGCGCACGUAGGCGGUUUCUCAAGUCAGAGGUGAAAGCCCGGAGCUCAACUCCGGAAUAGCCUUUGAAACUAGGAAACUUGAACGUCGGAGAGGUGAGUGGAAUUCCGAGUGUAGAGGUGAAAUUCGUAGAUAUUCGGAAGAACACCAGUGGCGAAGGCGGCUCACUGGACGACUGUUGACGCUGAGGUGCGAAAGCGUGGGGAGCAAACAGG